rnacentral:rRNA from 1 species
UACGAAGGGGGCUAGCGUUGCUCGGAAUCACUGGGCGUAAAGCGCACGUAGGCGGCUUUCUAAGUCAGGGGUGAAAUCCUGGAGCUCAACUCCAGAACUGCCUUUGAUACUGGAGAGCUUGAGUCCGGGAGAGGUGAGUGGAACUCCGAGUGUAGAGGUGAAAUUCGUAGAUAUUACGGAAGAACACCAGUGGCGAAGGCGGCUCACUGGCCCGGUACUGACGCUGAUGUGCGAAAGCGUGGGGAGCAAACAGGG